ACAGCACUCUGCAAACACGAAAGUGGACGUAUAGGGUGUGACGCCUGCCCGGUGCUGGAAGAUUAAAUGAUGGGGUGCAAGCUCUUGAUUGAAGUCCCAGUAAACGGCGGCCGUAACUAUAACGGUCCUAAGGUAGCGAAAUUCCUUGUCGGGUAAGUUCCGACCUGCACGAAUGGCGUAACGAUGGCCACACUGUCUCCUCCUGAGACUCAGCGAAGUUGAAAUGUUUGUGAUGAUGCAAUCUCCCCGCGGAAAGACGGAAAGACCCCAUGAACCUUUACUGUAGCUUUGUAUUGGACUUUGAACAGAUCUGUGUAGGAUAGGUGGGAGGCUUUGAAGCGGUGCCGCUAGGUAUCGUGGAGCCAACGUUGAAAUACCACCCUGGUGUGUUUGAGGUUCUAACCUAGGUCCAUUAUCUGGAUCGGGGACAGUGCAUGGUAGGCAGUUUGACUGGGGCGGUCUCCUCCCAAAGUGUAACGGAGGAGUUCGAAGGUACGCUAGUUACGGUCGGACAUCGUGACGAUAGUGCAAUGGCAUAAGCGUGCUUAACUGCGAGACUGACAAGUCGAGCAGAUGCGAAAGCAGGACAUAGUGAUCCGGUGGUUCUGUAUGGAAGGGCCAUCGCUCAACGGAUAAAAGGUACUCUGGGGAUAACAGGCUGAUACCGCCCAAGAGUUCAUAUCGACGGCGGUGUUUGGCACCUCGAUGUCGGCUCAUCUCAUCCUGGGGCUGUAGCCGGUCCCAAGGGUAUGGCUGUUCGCCAUUUAAAGAGGUACGUGAGCUGGGUUUAAAACGUCGUGAGACAGUUUGGUCCCUAUCUUCCGUGGGCGCUGCAGAUUUGAGGAAGCCUGCUCCUAGUACGAGAGGACCGGAGUGGACACACCUCUGGUGUAUCGGUUGUCACGCCAGUGGCAUUGCCGAGUAGCUAAGUGUGGAAGAGAUAACCGCUGAAAGCAUCUAAGCGGGAAACUCGUUUCAAGAUGAGAUCUGCCGGGGCCUUGAGCCCCCUAAAGAGUCGUUCAAGACCAGGACGUUGAUAGGUCAGGUGUGGAAGCGCAGUAAUGCGUUAAGCUAACUGAUACUAAUUGCUCGUGCGGCUUGACCCU
rnacentral:rRNA from 1 species